rnacentral:tRNA from 1 species
GCGAUCGUAGCUCAGUUGGUUAGAGUACUGGAUUGUGGUUCCAGGUGUCGCGGGUUCAAAUCCCGUCGUUCGCCCA